CCUCCUUCCUAAUUUUUAGGGUUUAAAAUUUUACUCAGGUUUACUAUUCAUUUUCAUUAUUGAUUUUCAGACAAAUUCGAUUUUGUUUUUGAUUUAAUGUUUGUUAUUUCAGGUUUGUGAUGUUAGCUUAUGUGGAAGGGCAAAGAUUCGCUGGCGGUGGGAUUUCUGAUGGCUUCAGUUCGGGGCCUUCGUGACCCAAAAAGGAAGUCGGAAACGGAUCCUAAUCUUUUGACAAUGCGGCUUGAAACUCGAAAAACUGAAGCGGGUAGGAAUUGCUUUGGUGAAAAAAUUAUUGUGUAGCUGUGGUGAGACCGGAUCGAUACUGAACCAAGGCUCAGAAAGAAUGUUAGGCUCAAAGUUCGAUCUAUAGCUGAGAUUGUUGAAGACAAUAACAAUCAGAUCGAGCGACACAACAGAAGAUUAAGUCGACAAGUAAUUCAUUCAGGAUGUGCAGGCCAGUUUUUGUUUUGUCUUCUUCUCUUGCUGUGCAGCCGAGUUUGCGUGGUGCGCCAGUUCAUCCGCAAUAGAUUGCUAGGAAACAGAGGAUAUUUACACGUGGUCGCAGUUGGAGGCUUCUGCAGAGAAUAAGGAGGUUUUUUCGCAAAAAGGACGGCGGAGAAUAAUUCUUUCAUUUGUUUUUGUCACAGGUGAAUGUUAUGUUUUGCUGGUUUAUUUAGUCCCUUUUAUAUGAUCAUGACGUGGUUUUAUCACAAACACUGAACAUGAAACAUUUCUGUUAUUUCAAUGAGGGUGUUGGUCUUAGUAAAUCAACCAAAAACCAAACAAAAUGUGUGAAACCAAAAACACGAGAAAUCUUAGCCAGUCAGGAGGAGUAGAAGAAUUGCAUUGACGUCACCGAUUAAAGAUAAGUUAUGCACACGCAUAUGGCUGGACGCGAUCUAACUGAAUCUUUGAUGAAGAUCCUCACUGAGAUAGGGUAUAUGUUCACCACCUCAGCUGAGCGGGAAUUUGUCCGUGACAUAAAAGAGAAGCUUGCCUAUGUUGCUAUGGAUUAUGAACAAGAACUUGAAACUGCCAAGAGCAGUUCUUCUAAUGAGAAAAACUAUGACCUUCCUAUUGAAAAACAUAGCCUAUAUAGGACUGCGAACCUCUUAUCAUCAUGACUGCAUCAUUCAAUGCCUUUCGUUGUUGAUGCUUCAGGCAUCCCGCUGAUUUUUUCAGGAGAGCCAAAAUCCAGUCUUUAUUGGUUUGGCAUCACUCUAAUUUAUCAUAUGGAGCAUGUACUUUACGCAUCUAAAUCCAAGAAUUUUCUGGUUUGUCACUUGGAGCUAUUAUGUAUGAAAUGCUGGUGGGAUAUCCGCCUUUUUAUCCGGACAUUCGACAAUCGCUGUAGGAAGUGGAGGAGAUGGAGGAGGCGGUGCCAGUGGUGCUGGUGAACAAAAAAUGUAAACAAAAAGAGUAGCAUUCAUAGUUCUUAAUGCAGUACACUCAUGAUCUGGUUUGUAGAAGAAAGAAUCUAUUGAUGUAUUGAUGGACAUUAAGAGGGAAAUGACUCUUACAAUGCGUCAACGGGCCCUUCAAUCAAACAAAGGUACUUUUACAUCUAAUGCGAGUUUAAUUGAGUUUCCCAACAGAUUACCUCCUGCCCCGCCUAGAAAGCAAAAAGAGAAGCCUACGGAACAGGAGCUGCCAUCAAAGAAAACUAAGGCUGCCAAUAGACAUAAAAUGCAAGUUGAGAAGACUGAUUAGUUGUUAAGUUCGUGAGAAGUGUGCUGGUCCAACAUGUACAAAUCCAUAAAAAUACUAGGAUUCAAAAACCAAGCUUCCUCUUUGCAGUCUCCAAUGCUACAAGGCUGUUCAGGAGAUCACUACACCUGAAACUAUCAGCUAAUUUUGUCGAUACUCCUCCUUUGUUGUUUUUUCCAGUUAUAUGUCACCGUUUGUAUUUUUAUCUAUGAUACAUGCUUUUAGGCUAGAGCAAUGGUGAAAACCAGAUCAGCAGACUCACUUAGUUGCUUGUCUGCGCAAUUUUCUGGGUCGUGUUCAACCGGAUUAUUUUGCUACAUGUGAAAACCAGAUUAGUAGACACACAUCCUUAUGUCCAUCACGUAAAUGAUUUGUCAUUCGGAGUGGGCUUGAAGCAGAUAAGAUGGAUGGGAAUACUGCAGGAAGCAUUUCAUACAUUGUGAGGCUUCUGAUUCAUUGGAAAAAUCAGUUCGGGAUACUACUGGAAGAAAGCAUGAUGAUUCGAAAGGCAUGUCGUCGUUUUCUAGAUCGUCGAAAAGAUCGCGGGUGCAGAAUCGAUUACAGAAUAUGAUUUUCUCUGUUGAUGGAUGCAACACGGAUCUUAGUGAUUGUAGAGAGUAUCAUAAGCAACAUAGAGUUUGUGAAAAACAUUAGAAAACUCCUGUUGUUUUUGUUAGAGGUAAGCAGCAAAGAUUCUGUCAAAAAUUUAGCAGGUAUAUUAAUUGAAGUUGUUUGUUUCAUAUAUAUAGUUUAUCCAAUUUCGUUGAAGUAAAUAUGCGAAUUAGUCCUUGAAAGUAUAAGCAUCGGUCAAUUUUGACUUACAUUUUACUAUUUUGCUUGGUUGGUGAUGUCGGUGUCCAGUGUCGUAUUGAUGUCAGUGUCCGAGCCAAUGACUACGGUUAGAAUUUAUAUUUCUUUUUGUCAUUAUUUUUUGAAAUUACGCUUAAUAUAAAAUUUUACAUUUACUUGCCUUAGGUCCUAGAAUCCUGCACUUUUGUAACCCUCAGACAUAUAUGAGUGAAUCCUAUUAUGAGAAACAUUUGGCCUGCAACUUCAAUAACUGAAGCUGAGCCAGGUUACGACCAUCACCGACUUUUUAAUCGAAUCGACAAACAUAAACAGGAUAAAAGACAUCCUUUAUGGAAAGAAAUUGUCCCUAAAGCCGACGUUGUUAACGAUGCCAUGUCGGGGAUUCCUAUCAGUCAACCUAUCAGUUUGCUGCUGUAUUGAUGCGACAAUGUUUACUGGGCAGGUUCAGUUUCGGAGCGUUUGCAGUAGCCUUUAAUCCUGCAUCGGCCUCACGUGAUCUUUUUUCCUUGGUUCUUAUCUAUUUUUGAUCAGCUGUUUGCAGUGGAAGUGUUCAAGGAGUUGCGUGUUUUCUUUGUUGACAGAUGUAUCAGCUGAUUUUCGGUUUUUGGAUAAUGUGUUUUUUAUCAGCCAGUGUUAGUGUCGAUUUUGGACACUGACAAGUCUUUUCUUAGAGGCGGCGAUAUUGACUACUUUGAGUUUGUAAUCGUAGAAUAUAUUCCAACUGAAUUAGACUUGACUGAUAUCUGUUUGAAGAUCAGUUGUGAGCCAAGUUAUAACAAGAUAUCUUCCGAGUUUGAUUUUUAAGCAGUUUC